CAGUGUGGGAUGUUUGCUAGGCAGCUGAGCUCGAAGCCUCUGAUUGGCGAAGGCGUUGCUAAGGCAAACAGUGCCGCUUCCUCCGAUUGGCCAGUUAGUGAAGGGCCACCCGGAAGGUGGGGCUCCCCAGAGGAGCAAUGGAGGAAGCCCCGCCCCCUCUCCUUACCGGGAAGAGGAAGGGGGAGGCGUAACUAGGGCCAGCAUCCCUAGCAGCAGCGAAUACACUCCCUAAACGUGCCCAGGCCCGGACAUCCUGAAGAGGCAACUACACUUUCCCACCAGGCCGGCUCCCCGGUCCUCAUUCAUCAUCCUCUAUACUGGAGGGAUCUUUGGCAGACAUACAUCUGGAAAAGACCGGGGGGAGACAGUUGGCCUCCCAGUCCCCGAAGGGGGCAGGGAGACGAGAUGAAGAUCAGUGAAGACUUCCAGCUGCGGGCUGGGCUGGGGGAGGGGGUUGUCCCGGGGAUAAAUCCCACCCUACCGCCAGUGCAAAGGCUUGGGAAAAAGUAGAGCCAGACAGAAAGUUUCAGCAAAUAAGCCAGCCAGCCAGCAUGCGCUCGCGCACACACACGCGCCCGCGCACACAAACGCGCGCACACGCACACACACACACACACACACACACACACACACACACCCUUACCCCUUCUAUGGAAAGCCCAUGAAGGGGUGGGCGGUUAGAACUGCAGCGCUGCAAAGCCCAGGUUCAGGGUUUGGGUCUGGAUCUCAGCUCCAAGGCCGUGAAAAUAUCUUGUUUGGGCUUUGCAGUUACAGAAAUUACUCAAAUCUGGAAUCAGCCCCUUUCUAGCCUGCGCCUGGAAAUAAGGGUUCGACCUCUCCAAACUCCAUCAUAUUCCUCAUUGUUGGUACCCAUCCGCUGAGGUUCUUAAUGCAAAUUACAUGAGAUAAAGGCUAAAGCAUACAGUAAGUGGUCAGUUAAUAGGAGCUCCUGGGGUAAUCGAUUCCUCCCUGGAAUAAACAUCGGGUUGUUUUGAAGGGGUUGGGAGAGUGAUAUUUCCUUUCCUUAAAAAUUUUUGUGAAGACUAAAUAAAGUGGUUGGUUUUGUUUGA